UACAGAGGUCUCAAGCGUUGUUCGGAAUCACUGGGCGUAAAGGGUGCGUAGGUGGCGUGGUAAGUCAGAUGUGAAAGCCCAGGGCUCAACCCUGGAACUGCAUCCGAUACUGCCAUGCUAGAGAACUGAAGAGGAGUGUAGAAUUCUCGGUGUAGCAGUGAAAUGCGUAGAUAUCGAGAGGAAUACCAACGGCGAAGGCAGCACUCUGGGCAGUUUCUGACACUGAGGCACGAAGGCUAGGGGAGCAAACGGGAUUAGAACCCUAGUAGUCC
rnacentral:rRNA from 1 species